AGUUCUAAGAACAACGAAGGGUGUACUCCGCUUUGGCUUGCGGCCGAGUCUGGGCAUCUCAAAUGUGUGGAGCUAUUGUCUACUGGAACCGAUUUAAUCAAUACUGCGAACGAAAAUAAGCUUACACCUUUGAUGGUUGCUAGCAAAAACGGACAUGCUGACGUUGUGGAAUACUUGAUAAAGAAAGAUGCCGACGUUACUAAAUUAGACAAAAAGGAUCACAAUUGCUUAGACAUCGCUAUACUCAAUAAUCAUGAGUGUGUUGCAAAGACAAUUAUUAAAUCAAACCGGUGGGAUAAAGCUCUUAAAAACUACACGAAGACCGAUGACGGCAUGGAAUGUACGCCGUUCAGAAAACUUAUUCGGCACAUGCCACGUA